CUGGAGGUAUCAGAAGUGCGAAUGCUGACAUAAGUAACGAUAAAGCGGGUGAAAAGCCCGCUCGCCGGAAGACCAAGGGUUCCUGUCCAACGUUAAUCGGGGCAGGGUGAGUCGACCCCUAAGGCGAGGCCGAAAGGCGUAGUCGAUGGGAAACGGGUUAAUAUUCCCGUACUUGGUGUUACUGCGAAGGGGGGACGGAGAAGGCUAUGUUGGCCGGGCGACGGUUGUCCCGGUUUAAGCGUGUAGGUGUGUGUUCCAGGUAAAUCCGGUUCACUUUAACACUGAGGCGUGAUGACGAGGCACUACGGUGCUGAAGCAACAAAUGCCCUGCUUCCAGGAAAAGCCUCUAAGCAUCAGGUAACAC
rnacentral:rRNA from 1 species